AGAGUUUGAUCCUGGCUCAGGAUGAACGCUGGCGGCGUGCUUAACACAUGCAAGUCGAACGAGGAAUUUUAAAUGAGACUUCGGUGGAUUUUGAGAUUCCGAGUGGCGGACGGGUGAGUAACGCGUGGGCAACCUGCCCUGUACAGGGGGACAACAGCUGGAAACGGCUGCUAAUACCGCAUAAGCGCACGGUAUUGCAUGAUACAGUGUGAAAAACUCCGGUGGUACAGGAUGGGCCCGCGUUGGAUUAGGUAGUUGGUGGGGUAACGGCCUACCAAGCCGACGAUCCAUAGCCGACCUGAGAGGGUGACCGGCCACAUUGGGACUGAGACACGGCCCAAACUCCUACGGGAGGCAGCAGUGGGGAAUAUUGCACAAUGGGGGAAACCCUGAUGCAGCGACGCCGCGUGAGCGAAGAAGUAUUUCGGUAUGUAAAGCUCUAUCAGCAGGGAAGAAAAUGACGGUACCUGACUAAGAAGCCCCGGCUAACUACGUGCCAGCAGCCGCGGUAAUACGUAGGGGGCAAGCGUUAUCCGGAUUUACUGGGUGUAAAGGGAGCGUAGACGGCAAGGCAAGUCUGAUGUGAAAGGCUGGGGCUCAACCCCGGGACUGCAUUGGAAACUGUCCUGCUAGAGUGCCGGAGAGGUAAGCGGAAUUCCUAGUGUAGCGGUGAAAUGCGUAGAUAUUAGGAGGAACACCAGUGGCGAAGGCGGCUUACUGGACGGUAACUGACGUUGAGGCUCGAAAGCGUGGGGAGCAAACAGGAUUAGAUACCCUGGUAGUCCACGCGGUAAACGAUGAAUGCUAGGUGUCGGGUGACGAAGUCAUUC
rnacentral:rRNA from 1 species